UACGGGGGGGGCAAGCGUUGUUCGGAAUUACUGGGCGUAAAGGGCUCGUAGGCGGCCAACUAAGUCGGAUGUGAAAUCCCCAGGCUUAACCUGGGAACUGCAUCCGAUACUGGAUGGCUUGAAUCCGGGAGAGGGAUGCAGAAUUCCAGGUGUAGCGGUGAAAUGCGUAGAUAUCUGGAGGAAUACCGGUGGCGAAGGCGGCAUCCUGGACCGGCAUUGACGCUGAGGAGCGAAAGCUAGGGGAGCAGACGGG
rnacentral:rRNA from 1 species